rnacentral:lncRNA from 1 species
UGCUCUUUUAUUGUUAAAGAAGAUAUGAAUGAGAGAGCUCUCAAAUUCCUCCUUCAGCAGAUGAAGGCCGGGGGAGGAUAACAGUGGGCAAUGGAGAUCUUUUGAGGACAAUACCAUGGAAACCCAGAUGGUGACCUCCACUUGCCGCUUUAGAAAGGCCUAGCCUUUUGACAUGUUGACAACGCAGAGGAAUUAAAAGAUUUGUGUAGUGAGUGAAAUGGAAUUAAAGAGAUGCCAGUUCCUCUGAUUUAAGAGCUCGGAGAGGCUCUUUUCUAUUAUUCUUCUUCUUCUUCUCCCCCCUCGCCCCUCUCCCCCCUCUCCCCCUCUGUCGCCUGGCUUCUGCAGUAAAAGCUGCUUCGUGUAGAUGACCUGUCAGUUGAUUCAAAGAUGUUCGAGUUUUCAGGUAGUAGUAUAUUUACUAUCGCCAUUUAAUGAUGUGGGCUUGGCGUGCUUUCUUGAAUUCUUGUCCAGGUUCCUCUUUGGGUUUCUUUUAUCUUUUUCUUCUUCUUCUCCGUGGAGGGCUGAUCUUUGUAGACGAGAUGUGUCAGAGAAAUAAAGGCGAGGAUCUUCUCAUCAGCCUGUGAGAAUUGAAGUGUAAUGUUUUCAUAACUCUGCCCCCUCAUCCCCUCUAUCUCCCU